rnacentral:rRNA from 1 species
UACGUAGGUGGCAAGCGUUGUCCGGAAUUAUUGGGCGUAAAGCGCGCGCAGGCGGUCCUUUAAGUCUGAUGUGAAAGCCCACGGCUCAACCGUGGAGGGUCAUUGGAAACUGGGGGACUUGAGUACAGAAGAGAAGAGUGGAAUUCCACGUGUAGCGGUGAAAUGCGUAGAGAUGUGGAGGAACACCAGUGGCGAAGGCGACUCUUUGGUCUGUAACUGACGCGGAGGCGCGAAAGCGUGGGGAGCAAACAGG